AUUGAACGCUGGCGGCAGGCCUAACACAUGCAAGUCGAGCGAGCGGCGGACGGGUGAGUAAUGUCUGGGAAACUGCCUGCUGGAGGGGGAUAACUACUGGAAACGGUAGCUAAUACCGCAUACCAUCGGAUGUGCCCAGAUGGGAUUAGCUAGUAGGUGGGGUAAAGGCUCACCUAGGCGACGAUCCCUAGCUGGUCGGAGAGGAUGACCAGCCACACUGGAACUGAGACACGGUCCAGACUCCUACGGUAGGCAGCAGUGGGGAAUAUUGCACAAUGGGCGCAAGCCUGAUGCAGCCAUGCCGCGUGUAUGAAGAAGGCCUGCGGGUUGUAAAGUACUUUCAGCGGGGAGGCGUGACCCGCAGAAGAAGCACCGGCUAACUCCGUGCCAGCCGCCGCGGUAAUAC
rnacentral:rRNA from 1 species